CUUUUAAAACACUGUGUUGAUGGGUUUAUAAAGCCAUCAAGAUGUUUCCUCAAGACUUGCGCACUUUACUGCGUAUGUGCUUUGCUGUGCAGAGCGUAACGAAGUGUGUCGGCAGGUCCUGCGUGGAGGCUGGUCUCCAGUCUGUGAGGAUUGCGCCAGAGGUGCUGUAAAGAAUCCUGCUUCAGUGGUUGCUCACCAACAGUCGGUCAAAGGAGGCUUGUUUCUCAGGGCUCCUUGAGGGCGGGGACUAUUCUCCAUUGUGACUCAGCGCCUGACACAUCUGAGUGCUCAGAAGAUGUUUGCCACGUGAAUGAAGGCCCUCUUCCUGACCGUGGAGAGCGCAGAUUGAAGCCACUUCCCUGGGUUUAGGGCUUUUGCCAUGUGUGACCUGGAACUUUGGUCUUUAGGACCAACCCCUGACCUUGUAGAGGGGCAUUUGACCUUGAAGAUCAACAUUCCAGGAUUACUCCCAACCCACUCUUUCUUCUAGGCUACAGGAGCCUGUGAGCUGGUUCUGAUGACAGGUUUGACUUGGUCUCUGAUGUGCUUACGUCUGCCUGGCUCCCUCUCCACGCAAACCUGGGCAUUUGCCUUCUUCCCGCUGGUACUGUCCUACCCCCAAGACCAGAGUCUGCCCAAGAGGCACAGUCUAGUGAUUGGUGCCCUGCAACCAGCUGAUGCUUAUCUGAUGCUAAUUCCCUGGAUUUCUAUUACAGUAGGGCUCCGCCUGCCUCGCAGGGCAUCCUGCGACAUCAUGUUAGUCCUUCAAGACUCACUGUAACCUUGUCUAUAACCUGAGUCAUUGCUCUGCUCUUCCCGGAGACUGUCUUCUCUUAGUCAGACCAGGUGCUGUCCUGCUACCUGCUGCUGCUCAUUCCUCAAGCGCCUGCCACACUCCAGCUGACAGAUCCAGUCCAGAUCCUGGGCCUCCCAAUCUACCCAUCCCACUGCUGGGCCGAGCCCAGACCUCAAAGUGAUAGAAAUGUGAAUGCACUGAAAACAGGCGCAGCCCUGAGCACGGACAGAGCAUGACUCAAGUGUAGGGGGACAAAGAUGUCCAAAUGCCACAGUGGUUGACACAGCGCUUCACACAUAAGCACUUACUACUCGUCAAUUAUCAUCAUCUGUGAACGCGGAGCAGCCUCCCUCGGACUGAACGGGCAGAGUCCUUCGGGAUCAAUUAGGAGAAGCUAAGAGGAUGCCUACCACAGCAUGGCCAUGUCCACACCCAGGAUCUGAACCAGCAAACCCCCGGCCACUGAGAAGUGGAAUGCGUGAACUUAACCGCUGCACUACCCGGCCGGCCCCAGGAAAUUAGCUCUUUGUCAUAUGUGUUAUAAAUAGUUUCUUCAGUUUUACACUUGUCUUUUGUCUUUGUUCAUUAUAUUUUCCUGAAAAAAUUUAAAAUAUGUAAAAUUGAAUAUGUGCAAUUAAAAGACAUGCAUACAGUUCAUAUAUAUGUACAUAUGUAUUAUGUAUACCAUGAGUUUAUGUUCCUAUCCAAAUUCGACAUCACAAGUUUUUUGCCCACCUUCCCCCAUUCCCCAUUGUAUCUCUCUUUUCCCACAGAAAGCCUUGUUCCCUAAAACACUAAUAAAUUUACUCAUUACUCUUCCUACAAUACAC
rnacentral:lncRNA from 1 species